UGGGCCAGACGACCGCGGGGUUGGGAUGCGAAGGGGGCUAACCCCAUUCCCGACCAUGAGGAAAGUCCGGGCUCCACAGGGCAGGAAGCUGGCUAACGGCCAGGCGGGGUGACCCGACGGAAAGCGCCGCAGAAAAGAAGACUCCCGCUGCCUAAGAGCCCACCAGCAUCGUGGUGACACGGUGGCUUGGUAAGCCCCUUCCGGAGCAAACGCAAAUAGGAGUGCCAUGAGGUGGCCCGCCCCGCACUCGGGUUGCGCGCUAGAGGGCGUCAGCGAUGGCGUCAGUAGAUAAAUGGUCGUCCGCGACAGAACCCGGCUCAUAGGCCCACUUC
rnacentral:RNase_P_RNA from 1 species